rnacentral:rRNA from 1 species
ACGAACGCUGGCGGCGUGCUUAACACAUGCAAGUCGUACGGUAAGGCCCUUUCGGGGGUACACGCGUGGCGAACGGGUGAGUAACACGUGAGUAACCUGCCCACAACUUUGGGAUAACGCUAGGAAACUGGUGCUAAUACUGGAUAUGUGCUCCUGCUGCAUGGUGGGGGUUGGAAAGCUCCGGCGGUUGUGGAUGGACUCGCGGCCUAUCAGCUUGUUGGUGGGGUAGUGGCCUACCAAGGCGGCGACGGGUAGCCGGCCUGAGAGGGUGACCGGCCACAUUGGGACUGAGAUACGGCCCAGACUCCUACGGGAGGCAGCAGUGGGGAAUAUUGCACAAUGGGCGCAAGCCUGAUGCAGCAACGCCGCGUGCGGGAUGACGGCCUUCGGGUUGUAAACCGCUUUCAGCAGGGACGAAGCUUUUUGUGACGGUACCUGCAGAAGAAGCACCGGCUAACUACGUG